CUGCUGCCUUCCGUAGGAGUUUGGGCCGUGUCUCAGUCCCAAUGUGGCCGUCCACCCUCUCAGGCCGGCUACUGAUCGCUGCCUUGGUGGGCCGUUACCCCGCCAACUAGCUAAUCAGACGCGGGUCCAUCUUACACCACCGGAGUUUUUCACACAAAUCCAUGCGGCUUCGUGCGCUUAUGCGGUAUUAGCACCUAUUUCUAAGUGUUAUCCCCCAGUGUAAGGCAGGUUACCCACGCGUUACUCACCCGUCCGCCACUAAG
rnacentral:rRNA from 1 species